AUUAUAACCCUAGCUCGUUUGUUCUGGAACGCAUCCAACUCGCCGCACGCCGCACGCCGCACGCGACUGAGCGCGCCGCCGCACGCGACUGAGCACGCCGCCCUCACCGCCUCGUCCCUAUCUUGCCGUUGCCGCCUCGUCCCUGUCUUGCCGUUGCCGCCUCGUCCCCGUCUCGCCGUCGCUGCCUCGUCUCGUCUCACCGCCGCCUUGAGCAACAGGAGUUCCGUCCGGCGCUGGAGCUAAGCCUGGAGGUAGGUCCUGGCUAGAGCCGUCCGUGCUGCUGGCUAGAUCUGGAGGUUUGUUGUACUAAUGUCAUGAGUUUCAUACAAACAACGCAUUCCUACCCCCUUCUUCUAUAAUACAGUAGUAUUCUGCGUGGCUGUGACGGUAUUAUAAAGUUAGUUUUUUCAUUAAUAGACUAUGUCAGUUUAAUUUCAUACCAUAAAGACCACGCCAUCUUGUUUUGUAACUUCUUGGCAGUCCGUAGGCUAGCCCACCUUCUUACCGAGUAGUCGAUUCAUGUAUCACUAGAUUUCUUGUAGCAGCGGUUGGGUGAUUGAAGGAGAGAGAACAGAAUCUAGCAGGGUCGUAAGACAGUUAUUUCUUUGACCUAAAAUAGUUUUGUCUUCUUUCCUUGCUCUUCCAUUAUUAUUCCUGAAGUUACCCAUUGGCUGGCGUUCACCAUUCAGUAUGUUCCUGAAGACACCUGAAGAUCCGAGACCUCACCAUUCAGUAUGUUCUUAACCUUUACACCAUCCAGCCUAUAAACUAUAUAUCUCCAGUUCCUUGUAGGUCUUUCUAUUAGUAAUACCCGAGAUAGCAGUAUUCUCCAUAUUUGCAGUGAGUUCAGAGAAUUGAUUAUAUUUUAAACGACCAUUGUGAUAACUUCUAAUUUUCUAGAAUUUAUGUGUAGUUCACAAGGCACAUGGCUUGAAUUUCUGUGUAGUCCAUAUGUUUGUUGUUGCUAUCAUUGGAUGGAAAAGCUGACAUAAUUGCUAUAGUCUGAUUAGGAAAUAGGUGUUCAGCUGCUGUUAUUGAGGGACAAAUUGUUAUUUUCAAGUUGCAGUCAGGCAACUUUCAAAUAGUAGUACUUUGUCUUUACAUAAAACAAUAGAUUACUGUAAUUUUUAAGAUUAUUUGUCUCAUGUGUUUCAGGGUCCAAAGAUAAAGAUAUUAUCAGCAUCCCUAGAGAAGGUGAAAGUCAAGUCACGUGAUGCCAGUUGACGCAUCUUUAAAAGAUGUUUAAUUUGAACAAAAAAUAUGUAUCGAGAAUUGUAUGGCAUGCUUAAAUUUCUAGAGAGAUCGACAUGUUCUAUGCUUAAAUUUCUAGAGAUAUGAUAUGGUCUAUGCUUAAAUUGUGUUGAUUUUAUUUGCUUUUGUUGGUAUUUAGGUUUGGUAUUUAAUCCACAUGGAAUAAACGAACAAACAUAGUUGUGUGUGUUUUAGAAUAUAAUCCAUAUGGAAUAAACGAACAAACAUAGGUUGAUUGGGUUUAUGGAUUUAAUCCCAUAAGGGAUUGGGUGAAAGGCUUGGAUUCACCCAAUCCAUAUGGGGAAAAAACCAACCUGGAAAAAAUUUUCCAAGGUGCCGAACAAGGCCUUAUGUGAUUGAUACUACCCUUGCACCUAUGCAUCACCAAUUAGUGAAUUAUUAUUACUUCGGCCAUGUUUUAUCAAGGCAUAUAAAUUUCCAUAGAUGUAGCCAUUAUGGUCAUUGUUGCGCUGUGUCAAUAAUAAUAUUGCGACGUAAUCUGGUUAAUUUUUAAUGGUUGAAUUUACAGGAUCCUGUCAUUAAACCUCUACGAGAUUUAGAUUCUGAAACCCUGCAGGCAACAAUACCACAUAUUCCAUUAUGGGUGAAGAGCCCAGACUACGAGCGGGUGUAAGUCAACUGCUUUGUUUACUCAAACCUUGAGGAACAUCUCUUUAUAGAAUGUAAGUCCUAUGGACAAAAUGGGACCUUGUUCGUGUUUUACCCAAAAUAAAUUUAUGAUUUCUUUAUGUUUGAAACUAAUAGAAUUUUAUCUAUAGAAUAACAUUGUUUCUUUGAAAUUUCAUCUUAAUAUUAGCAUUAUGUAAGCCCUAGCUCCAGGUUGUCGCCGGCCCGAAGCUCCUCAACAGUCGCACCCACAGCCCCAUGACCAAAGUGGCGAGGUGGAGGGCACACACGCCACCACCGCCCAUAUCCAGGUCACAGGGAAGAAGGGCCCCGCAGUCGCCUUCGUUGGGGUCCACAUGUCCUCCGGCGGCUCCCUCCGGCGAUGGCCAGGUGGGAGAAGGGGGAGGGAGAGGUGCUAGUGGCUAGGAUUCAGAUAGAUAAGAAGGUAUCCAAAUGAGCCCUAAUAAAGAUAUUAGAGCUCAUUCAUCCAUUUUGAGAGACCCCACGAUAUAGAAUGUUUCACUAUUCUAGCAAAGGGAAUGUGCUUUUUCGGACCUUCGGCUAAAUGCCUUCGUUUGUA